AUGCAGCGCCUCAACGAAGCUCUCAUCACCCUCUUGCCCAAAAGGCAAGACGCCUCCGCCCUCUCGGACUACCAUCCCAUCAGUCUGAUCCACCUUGUGGCAAAACUCAUUGCCAAGGUCCUCUCUCUCCGGCUCGCCCCACGGCUGGGACAACUCGUGUCUACUAACUAGAGCACGUUCAUCGCAUGCCGCUGCGUGCAUGGCAACUUCAUGUUGGUCCAGCAGACCGCCCGCCAGCUACACAACCUGCGGCUACCUCGUGUCCUCCUCAAGCUUUGA
rnacentral:rRNA from 1 species